UCUUACGGAUAUGCCAUUUUCUA
rnacentral:siRNA from 1 species